UGAGGAAUAUUGGGCAAUGCCCGCAAGGGUGACCCAGCAACGCCGCGUGGAGGAUGAAUGUCGUAAGAUUGUAAACUCCUGUUAGAGGGGAAGAAUAGUACCGGUUGGACCGGUAUAUGACUGUACCCUCAGAGAAAGCCCCGGCUAACUACGUGCCAGCAGCCGCGGUAAUACGUAGGGGGCAAGCGUUGUCCGGAUUUACUGGGUGUAAAGGGCGCGCAGGCGGGAUAAAAAGUCAGUGGUGAAAUCCUACAGCUUAACUGUAGAACUGCCUUUGAUACUUUUAUUCUUGAGUUCGGGAGAGAGAGACGGAAUUCCAGGUGUAGUGGUGAAAUACGUAGAUAUCUGGAAGAACACCAGUUGCGAAGGCGGUCUCUUGGUCCGAUACUGACGCUGAGGCGCGAAAGCGUGGGGAGCAAACA
rnacentral:rRNA from 1 species